UAUAAUAUUUAUUAUACCAAUAACAUUAGUAAAGUUCAAUAAAUUGCAUAUAAAUUCAACAAUGUAAAAUAACAAAAAUACAACAGACAACUGUUCUGACAAAUAGCCUUUCUUAAAAAGGGUCUAUUAAAUAUGUAAAACUUUAUUUAUUCACAAAUUUCAUUUAUGAAUAUAAUUCCUCCCAACCUAAUCCUUAUAUCAAUAGUAAUUUUUUAUUUUUAACUAAACGGACCUUAUUUUAAACUAGCGCCGGCAAAGUAAUACUUAUGUCUCUUGAGACGGUCCCUCACAUUUAUCUAACAAUAAUUACAUACCUUAUAGGUCAAGGACACUGGAGUGUUUGUACACAAAAAACGUGUUUCGCCCAAGUAGACUGAUGCAGUCUGGAAGGUUUGAGGGUGGCUUGAUGCAAGCCGGCUCAAUGCAGCAACUCUUAGAUGUAGCAAACAUUCCAGUAUUUAUACUUAUUGAAACAAUGGAAGCAAGCACACCGUGAAAAACAACAAUUUUAUUGCGUAAGUGAGGAGAUAAAUGCCGAGAUCUUCGAAAUAACUUUGAACCCAAGGACAGCAUUGGCUUAAGUUGACCAGUAAAUUUAAUGAAUAGAAAAUGCAGCAUGUCCAUCUACUUCCGGUCAACAUGCUUCGGAAAUAGGGCAGAAAUUUGAUAAAAUAUACUUGAAGCAAAGAAGCAAUGGUCCAAAAGGCUGAUUGUCUUACUCACAACAUCUACAAUAUAAAUAGAUCUUGAAGAUACUACAUGUAGUACAUUUGAAAGUUUGGGUCCAGCCAUGCUUCAAAACUUUUCAAGGUGCACAGGUUUGUCUGUACGCGGAGAGAAACUGGUGGUGUAAAUACGACAAUAUUUGCCUAAAGGUUAUGAUUAUGUUCAACAUUUUAUUAGAACAUCAUGUGGAAAGUGCCCUUAAGUUUAACUUAAUUAACAGUUAUACGUACAAUGUCAUGUAGUACCUUUUAAAAGUCAUCUGAAAGAUUUAAGGUGUAUGAAACGAUGCAUAUAGAAUAAUGGCAAUUUUGUUUUUGAUACUGACUUCGUCAGCAAGAAUAUCAAGCGCGCCCGCUAGGGUGAGCUGAUAUUCGAGCUGAUGAAGUCAGUAUCAAAAAAUAAAAUGGCAUUAUUCUGUUUAUCGGCAAUUUGUCAUAACUAUAUUUUUUUUUUGGUUGAGAAUAUGAAGUUAAAUGAAAUAGUUAGUAACAAAACGUUGGGAUAGUUGUUCGGUUGUAUGCAUGAAGUCGCGGGCAUUUCAUUGAUAAAUUGAUGCGGAUGGACUUGAGCAUGCGACGUUGCUGACUGAUACAUGACGUCAUUGCCUAAUCAAAUAUUACUUUAAUUUAACAAAACAACUGUCAUCAAAUUACUUUAAUUUUGCAAACACACUUUGAAACCGCUGCAGCUUACAUAUUUUACUAAGUAAACAUAUCUCCAAAAAAAUAAAAUUAAAGAAAUAGAUUCUUUCAAACCUUUCUUAUUUUAUACUUUUAAGAUCUCCAGAAUAACGUAAUGCGUUACAAUGAUAAUAAAAAAAAACAAUUUUGCUGCACAAAGAUUGUGCUUCAAAUGGUCAGUAAAAGAAAAUAUAUUUUCAAUUUAACCUUUUACCACCAAUAAUCAAUCCGUGCUGUUGAAACAAAGGAACUUUAAACUAUGCUUAGGUGACUAGUGCUAUGUUGAAAUAAUUUAAAUCUAAAUACUAUAGUCAAAAUCAUCACAUGUAAAGCGUAUAACAAAAACACCAAUGUGCCACAGAUAGUUGAUAAAUACAUUCAAUUGGCUCACUCCUUUUAAAAGUGCACAUUUAAUGUAUGUUUGUUACGAGAAUGCUCGUAUACAAAUCUGAGCCAUAAAAGUAGGUAAAGUCAUAAAAAGUUGACACAAUCAACGACAAUAUUCUCAUGUAUACAAAUAUAAAAAAAAUAAAAUGCCAUUAUUCUGUUUAUCGGCAAUUUGUCAUAACUGUAUUUUUUUUUUUUUGUUGAGAAUAUGAAGUAAAAUGAAAUAGUUAGUAACAAAACGUUGGGAUAGUUGUUCGGUUGUAUGCAUGAAGUCGCGUGUAUUUUAUUGAUAAAUUGAUGCGGAUGGACUUGAGCAUGCGACGUUGCUGACUGAUACAUGACGUCAUUGCCUAAUAUUUUUGAGAGUCAAGUCCUGUCCAUGAUCUUAAAAAUAUUUGGCAGUAGAAUCAACAGGAAAAUGUACAAAUUGCCGAUAAAACUAUAUAUUGUUUGUUUUGAAAAAAAAAUUAAAUUAAAGAGAACCACAAGUAAUGUUAUUUCUAUUUUAUAUAUUUCAUUUAGUAAAUAAAGGCAAUAGUAGUAUACCGUUGUUCAAUAGUCAUAAAUCGAUUUAACUGAAACAAAUCCGGGUCACAAACCAAAACCGAUGGUACACAUCAACUAUAUGAGGAAAACAGUACGUAAGUAAUUAAUAAAUUGUAUUAAAAGCUGACAUAUACGUAAACAACUACUAUCCAACUUGAUUGCUAAUGAGUAAAACAUUUGUAAAUCAUUUUGAUAUAACAAUUUCAAAUUUUCAAUUCUAAGUUUUGUGAUCUUACAGAGCAAAUUAACCAAAGGAACUUAGGUACAGGAUUUUUAUAAUUUUUUUUUCAUUGUUUGCACUGAAUAUCAAACGUUCUAAUUCCGAAUACCUAACACUACUAAGCUGGUCCUAUCUUGUUUUGGGUGAAUUUAUCAACUCAGAUACAACUCCUUAUUUUACUAUCCAAUGUUAACUAUUGGAUUUUAUUUUUUUUUGCCAUUGCAUUAUGAGUGUUUUCAACUAUUGAGUUUAAAUAUCCCUUUGGUAUCUUUCGUCUCUCUUUUACAAUAAUGUAUUUAUCAUUGUUUAUUGACAUUUUUGUAAAAGUGAACAUAAACCAGAAAAGGAUGUUAAGUAUGCCAAACUUUAUGUUCUACAUUCCAAUCUUGUUAACUUUACUGUAUUAUAAUUGUGUAAUGUUGCUUUAACCUGUUAAAACGCUCCCAUAUAAACAAAGGUUAUCCACUACAAACAUAUUAUUUCUAAUUCGUGUCCUCAAACGCAAAUAAAGUAUUUAUGAACAAAGUAUAAAGAAUAUAUCUAUAGAAACAGCUCGCCUAGACGAGUGCAUCAAAGAUUACUUUAAAAACAACUGUCAUCAAAUUACUUUAAUUUUGCAAACACACUUUGAAACCGCUGCAGCUUACAUAUUUUACUAACAAAUCUCAAAAAAAAAUAAAAUUUAAGAAAUAGACUUCUUUCAAACCGUUCUUUAAAAUAAUAUCUUAUUUUCUACUUUUAAGAUCCCCAGAAUAACGUAAUGCGUUACAAUAAUAAAAAAAAAAAACUUUGCUGCACAAAAAUUGUGCUUCAAAUGGUCAGUAAAAGAAAAUAUAUUUUCAAUUUAACCUUUUACCACAAUUACCAAUCCGUGCUGUUGAAACAAAGGAACUUUAAAUUGUGACUUAUUGCUAUGUUGAAAUAAUUUAAAUCUAAAUACUAUAGUCAAAAUCAUCACAUGUUAAGCGUAUAACAACAAAUCCCAAUGUGCCACAAAUAGCUGAUAAAUACAUUCAAUUGGCUCAUUCCUUUAAAAAGUGCACAUUUAAUGUAUGUUUGUUACGAGAAUGCUCGUAUACAAAUCUGAGCCACAAAAGUAGGUAAAGUCAUAAAAAGUUUACACAAUCAACCACAACAUUCUCAUGUAUACAAAUAUUAGAUUGAUAUUUGAAUUUCGAAAAUCUAUUACUCGGUAGAGAAACUCAGGUGACAAAAAUAAAAGUUAAUAAAAUCCGAAAAAUGAAACAAGUGUUCAAUUGCAUGCAGGAUGUGUUAUACUCAAAAGAUAACUGAAGCACAGUGAUCAAGGAAUUGUGAGGAGUAUACGUUAAUGACACAACACACCAACAAAAUCAUACAAUCGGAUUAGUCUCACUAUUAGGUCAUCACACGGUUAUUUCCCCCAAUAAUAUGAACAUUUUAGUAACUUCCAACGAAGCGCAGUUGCUAUUUAGUGAUGAAAAAUAACACCUUAUACUUAACACUUAAGGAGGUUCGCUACUUAGUUUCAAAAUAACAAGCUUUUUGUUACACUAGUAUAUAUUGAUAGGGGAUUAAUAAAGGAACCAAAAAAGCAAAAAAAAAUAUAUAGGUAAAUGUGCUUAUUUUCAAUAUAUAAGCCAUUGAAAUUUUGGCGGGAAAAUGUUCUCUCUUGAUUUUUCAUACCUUUAUCAGUGACAAGUUUAAGUUCCUAAAAACCAUUAAAAAUAACAAAGAUUUUAUAAGACUUUUACAGAUGGCUAAUAAUUAUACUUGUAAAAGAUUUAUAAAAAGAAAAAUGGGGGUCAAUGGGCAAAAAUUAUCAAGGCAUUUAAAUGGAUAAAACCAGAGGAUUCCGAAAAUCUGACAAAAAUCCCAAAACAUGACAAGAGAACAUCCUUAAUUUUCUUGCGUCCGAAGUGGUAUUCCAGAUUUACUUUUAGUAAGGACUCAAAUUCAAAAAUUUUUAAGCCAAGGAUGUAUCAAUAAGAGCUUACACAACGUAUAUUACCGUUAUCGGGUAAGUCCGUUGAUAUCUAACGAGAUGUUCACAAACGUUGUGAUAAAAUGCCCGUUUUUUUCAAAUUAUGUGUAAUUGAUAUGACCAGUGUUUUCAUUAGUUUAGAGAUCGAUUGUUUAGGACAGCACACAUAUUAAUUGUUAGUAUUUUUAUACAAAUAAUGUUAAUAGUUGAAAAUUAAUUUUUCCAAAUUAAUGAAUAUAUCAAUAUACGUCUAACAAACAACAAUCAAUCAACCACUGAACUAGGUAAAUGCUGAUUUGUUAAUUUUUCCAGUUAUCAAAUUCUCAUCCGAUCGGUUCAUGGAUUGAGCGAAAGCAUGCGCACUUCAAGUUCGAAAUGUCGCAGUUAUAUUCUUGGCCAAAUCAAUCAUAAAUCAAGGCUUACUAUUAAGUAUUUGCUUUGUCUCCGCAAAACAAAACAAAAUAUUUGUAUGAAUAUCUGUUUGCCCUCUUCGAUUUUUGCCGUGGAGUUGUCAGUUUUUGUUCUAUAUGUUGUUUUAAAUGUCAACUUGGUAUCUUUUAUACACCAUCACAUCAUGAUUACAUAUGUAACACGUCUUUGAUUGUAUUAUAUUCAUUUUAUUUAGGGUAUAUUGCAUAUUUAAAGUCGCGGAAGUUAAACCCAAAUGUAUAUAAAACUAAAUAGAAUGCGAUUGAAAUUAACCUUUACAUAGCUUGCAAUUUAUUUUUCAAACCUUGAAGAGGGAGGGUGAUUAUGAGUAAUUCCGUAUUGUUUAGUUUUUCAUUUAUAAUUGAUUAAUACGCUGGAAACAAAAGAAGAAAAAAAAAGUAAAUCGCCCAUACAUAUGAAACUCUUCAUUGUUUAACACGUUCCCCGAAAGGACGCCAUUGAGUAUAAGUACAAAAGAAAACGGUUUGCUGAGAUUACAAAUAAUCAAAAUAUUUAAAAGGAUCAACAAGCUUCUUAAUUCCGUGCUAGCGUUAUGUUGAUAUUAGUUAUUUGAAUAUGGGAGACAUGAUAUUAAAUCUAUCAUUAUUAUUCCCGUCCGAAAUGCUUUAACUCGGGAAAUGUUAUUUAUUCACGCUAUUUACAGAGUUAUAUGUAUCGAAGGUUUAGUAAUUUUAAUACUUGCCCUGAAACAAGAAUAAUUGGCGAACUUUUUAUUAGUUAUCCGGUAACUAGUAAAAUAUUGUAAAGUAAACUAAUAGAUGAAUCAUAUAUUAAAUUUAUAUCAAAUACAGAAAUGUAAAAGCUUGAGUUGGAGUUUAUGUAUGACCUCUUGUUUAGGUCUCUAUGGGGACAAACAAACAUCGAAAUUGGUUCUCCAAGAAAUCCGUUAUGAAAUUAUAGAUAGAAACUUGAUAUCGUGUAAAUAAUCAACAAGUUAAAAGUUUACUCAAGGGUUUCGAAUUUAGAUUUUUUGGCCUACGAACAAAAAAAGAACAAAAUGCUUUAGAAUUAUCCAUUAUAAGUGAAACAUGUUAUAUAUAUAGCACGCCUUUUACGAAUUUACGUUUUUAAUUCACGAAAAGCGUAGCUUUGAGUGGAUUAAAUAUGUUAAUGAGUAAGGCGUGACUAUAUAUGAUUUGUAACAUAAAUGAGCUAUGAUACACGUCAAAGGUUAAAUGCUGACCAAUAAAACGUUUCUGCACUUUUCCAUAUGUCAAUCAAAUAGUGGCGUGAUACUAUAUCUGAUUUCCAGAAAAUUAACACAUGCAGCAGAUGUCAGGGGGAUUUGUAUGUCAGAUAAAAGUACAUUCAAAUGAAUUGUUGCCGUGGGAUUCAGGCUCGAUAUCCAUUUACGUGUUAUUGAAUAUUUUGUCUCCCCAAAAACUAUUGAUAAAGGAGGGGGGGGGGGUGCAAAAUUUUAUUCGAUGUUUAUCUACCCUCCAACUUGAAAAUGACGUGUAGUUUCAAAGGAGUUUUAUCGUUGUGAUAAGAAGGAAACAUUUUCUAAUACCAAUUAUGAAGGUAACUAAUAAUAUUCUUCCAUUCCCAAGAACUGGAAAAAGAUUGGUUAAUUGAUUGCAAUGGUUGCAUGUUGAAUUGGUGUAAGAUCCAGGGACAAAUAUUUGAAGCAAUUCACGGAGAUAGGCCUUUAUAGAAUGAAGAAAAUUACUAAACAUCCAAUGACAUGUAUUUUUUAGAAUAUUAUUAAUUUCGACAAGAUAAAAACAGGUAUCCAACCAAAAUAACAGUAAGAAAAUUUUUAGUCAUUUCUAUUACAUUUUGUUUUAUUCUUUCAUUAAGUGGAUGAAAUUAAACGAUUUAAAUUCCAAUGACAAUUUUUUUGAAUAUUUAUAUUGACAUGAUAAAAACAAGUAUCCACCAAAUUAUCAAUAUCGCUUCUUCGUUUAUAGACCACGGUAUUCGUUUUUGUAGCUCUCCUCGAGCAACCAUUUAUUUCCAGUACAAUGUAUAGGGAACCAUUUUUAAUUUAGGGUUAGGUUUAUAAGUUUGGCUAGUGUUAAGGUAAGCCCCUCCCCCCUUUUCUUGAUUUGUUAUAUAUUGUUGUGUAUGCAUUUUGUUUACAUUUAUGAGGACAUUUUACGGUCAUUGAUUUCAUAGUUUACUGGGCCAAGGAGGCGGAGCUAGACAGUGAAAUAGCAACUUUUGAGAUAGAAGUUAGAGCACUGGUCUAAGAUCCUCCCAUGCCUUGCUUUUCCCAUGACAAGCGACACACGGCGGGACUGGAGAGUGCAAUAACUAAAAAUCAUUCAGUUAACGCACUUCUCUAAAAAUAACCGAAGUUAACUUACUCGAAGAUCAAAGGAAAAAUUACCAUUCAUGUCACAAAGUACAAAUAUUUGGGAUAGGAAAUAGAAACUUGACUCACGGCUUUCCUUAUACAGGGGCAUUACAAAUUAUUGUGUCGAUAUUUUUUGUAAGACCCCAAGGAGCAUAAUCUCUAUGUUUGUUAAAUAAAUCAAAUAUGAUUGUCCUAUAACUCCAUUCACACUAACAAAGAAACACUGAAAUCAUAUGUUGUAUAUAAGAUGCCAAUCUACUUGAUCCCAGUAUUUCAAAUGGUUUAGAAAGAUAUUUAAAUUCGCAGGUAUGUUGGGUCAAAAUGGGAACGUUUAACACGAUGCCCCAGGUAGAGAAUAUAAAGCACUCUGUACUCUAAAGAACCAGUGCAUCAACUCUCUGGGGCAAAAUGUCUGCCCAUAUCCUAUAGGUUAUCGUUGACAGUCAAACUGUAUCGCCGUUCAUCCGGCUGAAUCUAUAGCCCAUACAGUAACAAUCAAUGCUAUUAAAUUUAAUGUAAAUACGUUUUUGUUGUGGAUGUGCAUCAAAUAAUUUGCAACAGUACAUUAAGGAAAGAAUCAAUCAAUCAGAUGCUGUAUAUUGCGUUAAAGCAUACUCGUUUUUGUUUUUCUGCUUUUUGAACCCCAUGCGGUUCUUGUCUCCAGAUGUGAUUCUUGAAACGUGGCACAAUGUAAAUACUAUAUAUGUAUAUUGUGUCGCAGGCUUUGGCAUUGUCGAUUAGCUCAGCCACUUCAUUGACCACGGCGAUAAUUAAAAAAACUGAAUUAUAUUACUGUUAUCAUUUUCUUUCCAUUAAAACGACUAACAAUCAGUACAGCAGGGUAUAUGAGUCUUUUGUAUAAGUUGGAAUAAUAUUCGAACACGUAUCAACUAAUUCUCCGUAAAUGCAUGAAACUAAACCAGCGAAGCCCAAGAACAAAUAUUAUCAAAACAGAAUGAUAUUUUAUGAUCGUUUCUAUCUGUUACAAUUUUUAAGACAUAAGUAAAUAAAAGAAAUAUUUCAAAGGGAUAUCAAUCUAAAAACGGAUGAUGGAAUCCUACUCAGGGUCAUCUUGUAUUACUUCAUGAUAAGAUCUGCCUAUUGUCUAAAUAAGAUCGUGAUAUCUUCAAAAACAACAAGGGAAAAGGGGGGGGAGUCGAAAAAAAGCAAUGAAAGGGAGAUCACUUUUACAGGAAAUUAUUAAAUCCUACAAAGGGUCAGCUGAUAUUACUUCAUGAUGAGGUCUAUCGAUGGUCCAAAUUUGGCCAUGAUCUUAGAUAAGAUAGUCAAAAGCUUGCUUUUUGAAAUAUAAAAUCCUCCUAGAGAAGAAAUGUAAAUAAAAUGUAUAUUCUGAUUCUCUCGAAACUUUUGUUGCUAAGAGUGAAUAAAGGUAUGGAUGGAACUUUAUUUUCCUAUAGCAAUAUAUAAAUUGUUCCAGAAUCUGCAAAAUAGCGGGGACAAGAGAUUAUUAAUAAAACUGAUUAUGCUGAGUUAUUGAAACUGUAUAAUUGUGUUAUUUUAGAUUUUUUACAUCACUGGGUCGAUACCUCUGCUGGUGGACUAUCAGUCAGCUCAGUAGUCAGUACUUCGGUACUGACAUGAUUUAUAACAAACCUUUCUAAAAUUGUCUGUUUAUGAAUUUUGAAAUUAUAAAGAAACUAAGGUUUCAACUCCCUCAGGCAAAGUUGACCUUAGAUGAGUUUGGCUAUUUGUUUUAGGUAUUUUUGUCAUAUAGUUCUUCCACUGUUUCGGUACUUAUACAUCCCUCGGAUUUCAAAUGUUUGGCUUUGAGCGUUCCUGAUGAAGGUAAAUCCAGAAAAGCGCUUCGGACGCAUGAAAUUAUUAAACGUGUUAUUUUAAAUUUGUUGGCUAUUAUGCAGAUUAUAGAUGGAUACAAUGGGUGGCAUAAAAUAGUUAAGUUAAUCAAACAAUAUAAUCAAAAUUGUGAAAUGGAAUAUAUGUCAUCAUCAGAUAUAAUUCCCUCUCCUUUCUAUGGUUUGAGCUUUGUGUAUUUUAGCUGUCAACGGUACUUGACUACAAUAUAUACAAGGACGGAAAUUGUUUAAGUUCAACCGACAAUUCUUUCUAUAGCGAGCUUUUAAAUCUGAUUAUGAUCAAGUGGGUAGAGUCGAGUCUCUGUACUUAUGACUUCAAACUAUUUAUGACAAUGAACAUCGUUAAAAAUAUGCGAGUGGACAAAUAGUUGUUUACAAUUAACAGGUGACCUAUCUCGUACAAACUUACAUAGUUACUGCUAAUAAAUUUUAUUACUUAAUCAUCAAUUAAAUUUUACUUUAAACACUGUGAGUUCAUGAUUUUUUGAAAAAAGGAAGAAAUUGAGAUUUUUCUUAUCACGUUUUCCACUUCUCUGAUUGAUGAAUAUAGUUUUCUUGAAAAUUGAAUGUUUUCUGGUAAUUUUAAAGGGUGUGUCAAGGCGAUUACCGAAGCAAUUUUUUUAUGAAGCGCGAUUGUCUACAGUAACAGCAUAAAAUACAAGUUAAUGUUCGUAUUAGAAUGCUGAAUACAUAUAUUUAAGUCAUACCCAUACCUAGAAAGCUUCACAGAAGGGACAUAUUUCGUUGUUUCUUCUUUGAAGCCUAUCUGUAAAUAAGCAGCUCCUUUUGCGCAUGUGAAACCCGUCGUUUUCAUAAAAUAAAUGUUAAGGAAUAGACGCUGAUCAACGCGAAGUAAUUUGAUUUAGAAAUUUGAAUGAUUGAUUUAGAUAUUUGUAUGAUUGAUUAAGAGUUCUUCAUAAAUGAAAAUAAUAAAAGUUAAUUUUUUUAUUUUUCCUCCGGUGAGUGAAACUUAGAUAGCAGGAAUGAAUGUGAAUAAUGUUCCUAUGAAUGGGAUGCCAAUUUUUCAGAUUGGAUAAUAAGAUACGAUGUACCUUUUAAAAAAGUUCAAGAAUCACUUGUGUCAAUGAACUGGACAACAAAGGAAAACUGGAAUAUCCGGGAAAAUAUAAAACACACGAAGUUAGUGAACUUUAACGAACGACAUAUAUUGUUUGGAUACGGACCUUUUUUGAAUUACGGACCAGCAUAGAAGAGAGGGACGAAAGAUACCAGAGGGACAGUCAAACUCAUAGAUCGAAAAAAACUGUCAACGCCAUGGCUAAAAAUAAAAAGACAAACAGACAAAUAAUAGUACAGAUGACACAACAUAGAAAACAUAAGACUAAGCAACACGAACCCCACCAAAAACUGGAGGUGAUCUCAGGUGCUCCAGAAGGGUAAGCAGAAACUGAUCCACAUAUGGCAUUCGUCGUGUUGCUCAUAUUAUUACAAAUCCGGUACAUAGUCUAAUUCGGUAGGUCACAUUCGUGAAAAGGGAAGGGUAUUGUAGUUACGACAUAAGGAACAUAUCCGAUAUCAUCUGUGAAACGGUUAUUCCAUAACGGUCAACCAACUCGUGAUGGCGUCCGUAAAAUUUACGUAGGGAUGAUUUCAACUUCACCAUUUGGAACUCUUGGUUUAAUAUCUUCCUUGUGAGCAGCAAUCCUCUAUCAAGGAAAUCAUGAUAGGAAAUCAUAACUUUUACGAGUUUCAAUCAGAUAAAGAUUUUUUAACUGUUUGUAUGUGCCACAAUAAUUAGCGUAUUUCUACGUUAAAUUCUGCAAUUUCAAGCUUUUAUACCUCUUAAGAUAAAGUGACAGUUAUGCCAAGCAAGACAAAAACCUUGUUGUGACUUUUGCUGGACACAGCAAGAUAUUAUCUUCUACUGUAUAUAAAAACACACUGGUUCCAGAAGGCUAGGUUAUACAAAAACAGGAACUUCUGCUAUCAGUAACAGACAAAACAUCCCCUCUUAGUUCAAUUAUAAUCACUAUUUUAUUAUUCAAAAUCAACACACAAAAAUAGUUUUAUCGCGAUAUCAAGGCCUGAAACUUUUAUUUGAUACCAAAAUUACAAAUAUAUUUUACAUAAAUAAAAACUUACAGUAAUGCAUCUGACUUAUUUUGUUUGAAAACAUUACUACAUUAUAUAAUGUUUCAAGACUUGGGCAUGCAUUAUUGGUUCUAGACCUAACCAAAAUUUCGCAUUUUCGAACAGACUAAAAUCGAAAAUCUACAUUUGUCAUAAGAAUUGUAACAAAACUGAUGUAGUGCAAUUUCAUCGACAUGAUCGUGCAAUCGGGUCAAGCAGUAAAAUAAUUAAUCAUGAUAGCUGGAAGGAAUGGUACUUAUCUUCAGACUUUGAGUUUCUUUGCGUUAAUAUCAUUUCUGCAAUAUUAAAAUACAAUCAUCACAUGCGUUCUACCAAAUCUUAUUCGUAGACAAGAAAUUGAAUUCCGUAUUGUGAGAGGUGUUCAAAAAUAAAUCAAAAUAAAAAAGGGAGACACCAUUUCAUUUUUAUCGAAUAGAUACGUAGGGGAAAGUUGUUAAGAGCCGAUUUGUACACGUGUUUUACUUAUUGAAUCACCAUAAUCUGAAAAAUCUUAGUUGUUUCAAUAAUGUUGUAAUAAAGAACAAGACUGUCCCCUAUGGUUGCAAGUAUUGAUCAUACAAUAUAUUGAGGAAAGCGGUCUAGACUCUUUGUUAGUCGCAUUGCAGGAUUUUUGCCGAACAGCAAUGACAGGAAUUAGCAGUCGAUAUGCAGGUUUCCAGGUUGUUUGAGAUUUAAUCAUUAUUUUAUUUGCUUUGUCAUGCAAGCUUUUUUAAAAGCUUAUACUUGUUAAAUGAUCAUUCAUAUACUGAUAUCGAACCCAUGACUCUUUAUUUAGUAAUCUUUCUAUAAAAGUGACACCUACCAUCCACGUAUUCUAACAUCAAUCCGAUUCUGAUAGCAAAAAAUCUUAUUCUGAAGACUCCGUAUACAUACUAUAAGUAUUUUAUACUCAUCGAAAUAUAGGAUACAACAGAUACAGUUAAGUCUGCCUCAUAUCUUGACAUACAUUUAAAUCUUGACAAUGAGGGUUGGUUGAAAUCAAAAUUUACAAUAAAAGAGAUGAUUUCAUCUUUCUAAUUGUGAACACUCAAUUUCUAUGUAGCAACAUUCCAGCAAUGCCUGCAUACGAAGUAUAUAUCUAUCAGUUAAUACGAUAGUCAAGGGUUUGUAUUUCCUAUCAUGAGUUCUUUGAUAUAGGGUUGCUUCUCACAAGGAAGCCAUACCUUCGAAAAUAUUACGGACGCCAUCACGGAUUGGUUGACAGUUAUGAAAUAUUUGUAUCACAGAUGACGACAGAUAUGUUCCAAUGGUCGUAAUUUCGAUCCCGUCCCCCUUUCCCCGAAUGUGACCUACCGAAUUUACUUAUCACCGGGUGUGUACUAACAUGAACAACAUGACGGGUGUCACAUGAGGAGCAGGAUCUGCUUACUCUUCAGGAGUGCCUGAGAUCUCGUUUUGAUAUUUGACGAUCUGUCGUAAAAUACCAAAAGUACGUAAGAUAUGCUGUCGAAUGGUAAACGAUAUAGCCACCUGUACAUUGAUGCAUUAAAGAUAUUAGAUGGAUUGCCUAUGGUAACUAAUUAAUAUGUAGCUCAGACUUGGACAGUAGUAAUAAAAAAAACGACCGAGAGAUAGAUAGAGAGAGAGAUGCAAAUAAAGAGACAGUAUUUGUAUCCCUUAGAACGAUCUCACAUAUUUACAGAAUUUUAUGUGUCUGCUCAUUUAUAAUACCAACUUUCCAUUUGUCCCACCAUGCAAGGAUCAUAUCUUCACAUUUGUAAAAUUAUUUCAACGUGAGUUAUUUACCUUUAAGUUAGUCAUAAAAUAUAUGAAGCAUUUUAAGGACGAGAUCUUAAUUUCUAUAUUUCAUAAAAGAAGGUUUUACAAAGUGGUUCGACAUCGUGGAAAGACUAAAAAUAGAACUGUAACUGGAAAAUCAGGGCACCUUGCAUAAGGAAAGUCAACAGGAAUCAAGAAAAGAUAGCGUGACAUAUUCGAAUCACAAGAUAUCGGAUUAAAAUUCACAAGGGCAAAAUGACUUGAUUUGACUUAUAUGGACGUAUGAUAAUUUGUAAUAACAAACUUAGAGACUCCUUUUGAACGAUCAAGAAUCAUCUUUAUCGGGCAUAACUAUUCUUUAAGCACGAUUGGUUUGACGUUGUGGUCCUUUACGAUUACUGCAAGGCUCUGUCGUUUUUUUUUAAUGUUUCAGAACUAAACAAUGCUUACGUAUGGAGCACCAAAGAAGAUAUGUAGACACGACAGUUUAAAUCAUGGUUGUCAUGUCAAAACAGAAGUGCUGACCACUGGCUUUGUUAAACCCUCGGGAGGAAACAUCCACUAGCAAUGACACCAAUGUAGAGAUAGCAAAUAAACAAAUCAUUAAUAUCAGGGAAUUCCAAUGGCAUCGGCGAUUCAAUUAUCCUGCUGUGGUCCGUGUGAGUAUGAUGAAAUAGCUACGGAAGCGAGAAGAUGGUGUACUACUUGCAAGGGAGGAUUAUGUGUAGACUGUGAAAAGGCUCACAUAAAAAACAAAAUAUCGAAAAAUCAUAAAGUUAUCUCGAUUGAAGAUUACCGCAAGAUUGAAAAUGUUUCGAUCUCUUAGGUCUGUGAGCAUCAUGGAGAAAAUCUUGAGUGGUUCUGUAAAACUCACGACAAAGAACUGUUCAUGGUUUGUGUUUUAUCAAAUCACAAGUUAUGUUAUGAUGUUAUAACAAUACACGUUGCCUCAAACAAUGCCAGGCAAUCACCAGCAUUGUCUGACCUAGUAGAGUCAAUUGAUGAAACACGUAACAACCUUAAACAGUGCAUCACAAACCGUAAAUCCGCUUAAAAAAAUCAAAAAACGAGAGUUAGAAAUAGAAAAGAUGAUACUUGAAAUGCGGACAAAUAUAAACACCCACCUAGAUACAUUAGAAGACGCAUUGCUUUCAGAAUUAGUAUCAACUUCUCGUUCUUGUAAAUCAGAAUAUGCCAAAAUCCUUGAGAAGCUUAAAUCAGGUGAGGAAAAGCUUACCAAACUUAGGGAACAAACAUUGCACAUCAAACAAAUUUCUUCUGACAUACAGGUGUUUCUUGGAACAUAUCAGGGUAAUAAGUCAAUUGUUAGCGAAACCAAAGACAUCAAUGAUAUUAUAGUACUUCUAGAGAUUAUGAAUUGAAAGUAGAUUUCAAUAGUUUAAUCACAAAACUGUCAACAGAAGUUGAAAAUUUUGGCCAAAUUAAGAUAUCUGAAAAAAUCUCUCAGUUAGAUUUCAGAGACCCCAAAAUCGAAUAAGCUCAGAUAGGUAUCCCAGUCCCUACACCAAGAAAUAUAUCCAACAUACAGCUUCAGUUAAUCAAAACGUUUAGAAUAUCAAAGGAAGAAAAAAUGAAUAUUAGAGGCUGCAUCAUGUUAUCUGAUGGUCAUUUAUUAAUUUCGAAUUACCCAAGUAACUGUUUAAUCGAGUACAGCGAUGAAGGUCAAUUCAUUCGUAACAUUCCGGUCACUUGUAUGCCGCAUGGUAUUGCAGUGAUAGACCCUGUAUUGUUGUGACUUAUGUUAACGCAAAAUUCUUAGAAAUAAUGAAUAACAAUACUUUCCAAGUCGAAAAGAAAAUCACUUUGCAGAAAAGUGCUUGGGGGUAUCUCAAGAGAGUGAGAGACUUUAUGUCGUAAGUAGAGAAGCUACCAUACAAGUCACUGAUCUAUCAGGAAGACAAUUGGAAACAUUGAAAAUAGCAUCGGAUGGUGUAGCAAGCAUCACUACUAGCAGAGACAGGAUAUACUACACAGACUUCAAUAGUAGCAAAAUACACAGUUGUCUUAUGAUUGGAGAAGAGUUUUUGCAGUUUGAAAAAGCGAAUAUAUUCGGGGACCUAUCGGUGUAGCAGUAGACAAUCAAUGUAACGUUUACGUUCACGUCGUAGGUAGUAGCUCUAAUAAUCUAGCAAUAAUACAACAUGAUGGGAAUUACGGUAAGACAUUACUGACAGAAUCGGAUAAUCUGCAUGGUCCAACUGCUGUGUACUAUGACAAAGAGAAAAACACAUUACUUAUUUGCAAUAAAGGUGGGAAGGUUGCUUUGUACAAAGUCGUUUACAAAAGAUUCCAAAUCAUCGAAUGAGGUUCCUGUGUUCAUGAAAAUUCCAUACGAAAAAACCAUGGUUACAUAUAUUGACAUUGCGUUGCACCUUUUGUUAAAUAAAAUAUAAUCCAUUUUCUUUGA